AGCCAAAAAGUGCAUAUGAGGAGCUGGCAGCCAGAGACACAGGGAACUGAGAGGGUGUGCUACUGGAGGAUUGAGGAAACACCAUACAAUCAGGCAGUAUCAGACAGCAGGAGGAUCCUCUGACAGAAAUAUAAAGUAUGGAACAGCUCUGGAGAUUCUCAGCCUUGUGUAAAGCGCGGUGUGAUUAACAUGGAGCUCUCUAAGCAAUGCUGGCAGGGGCACUGGCAUCAAAAGCCACAGCGAUACUGAUUUGACACCAAAAACUGGCAUACUCAACAGGGGAUAGAUGCUGCGCUAGACAAACAGUGGAAACCUCCUUUUCUCUAGGCAGACAACUCUACAGUCCCUUCCUCUUCACUGUCCGCUCUGUUGGCACGGAUUUCAACCAGUGUCCGAGCAAAACGGGUCCAUUCGUCAUUGUGUGGAACAGCGAGCUGGAAAAUAAAUGAAAUGAAAGGGUCAAGUGGGUAUGCACAAAAAGAGAAUACUUUGCAGUGGAAAGAUAAUAUCUUGGGGCCCAAAUCUGCAGGCCUGACUCGUGUAUAAUUCCUACUAGAGUCAAUGUGAAUUGUGCGUGAUUAAGGACUGCAGCAUGGGGCCCUCGCAAAAGAACUCUGUCGUUUACUUCCGCAGUUGUAAAGCAAUGACAUGUUUUCAGGACAAAUUUAUCAUCUCCCGCUUUAGAAUCAGUUGGAAAUAAUUGCUGCAUUUUAAAGCCCAUUUCUCCCAUCCUUACCUGAGUAAAGCGCUAACUGACACCAAUGAAUGUUUUGUCUGAGUAAAAGCUGCAAAAUUUGGCCCUAUAUUAGUAUAUUUGAUAUUUUUCAAGACAACACAAGGCCCUGAUCCUGCAAAUGUUUACACACGUGCUUAAUUUUACAAAGGUGAGGCAUCCAAAGAAGUCAAUGAGACUAUUCCUGAGUAUAAUUAUAUGCAAGAUUGGGGUCAAGGGCCCAGAUUUGUAAUGGUAAUUAGGUGAAAUCAA